rnacentral:rRNA from 1 species
UACGUAGGGGGCGAGCGUUAUCCGGAUUCAUUGGGCGUAAAGCGCGCGUAGGCGGCCGCCUAAGCGGAACCUCUAACCCCGGGGCUCAACCUCGGGCCGGGUUCCGGACUGGGCGGCUCGAGUGCGGUAGAGGAGAGCGGAGUUCCCGGUGUAGCGGUGGAAUGCGCAGAUAUCGGGAAGAACACCGAUGGCGAAGGCAGCUCUCUGGGCCGUCACUGACGCUGAGGCGCGAAAGCUGGGGGAGCGAACAGG